GCAGUGGGUACGGGCAGACUAGAGUGCGGUAGGGGAGAUUGGAAUUCCUGGUGUAGCGGUGGAAUGCGCAGAUAUCAGGAGGAACACCGAUGGCGAAGGCAGAUCUCUGGGCCGUAACUGACGCUGAGGAGCGAAAGGGUGGGGAGCAAACAGGCUUAGAUACCCUGGUAGUCCACCCCGUAAACGUUGGGAACUAGUUGUGGGGUCCAUUCCACGGAUUCCGUGACGCAGCUAACGCAUUAAGUUCCCCGCCUGGGGAGUACGGCCGCAAGGCUAAAACUCAAAGGAAUUGACGGGGACCCGCACAAGCGGCGGAGCAUGCGGAUUAAUUCGAUGCAACGCGAAGAACCUUACCAAGGCUUGACAUAUACGAGAACGCCGCAGAAAUGUGGAACUCUUUGGACACUCGUAAACAGGUGGUGCAUGGUUGUCGUCAGCUCGUGUCGUGAGAUGUUGGGUUAAGUCCCGCAACGAGCGCAACCCUCGUUCUAUGUUGCCAGCACGUAAUGGUGGGAACUCAUGGGAUACUGCCGGGGUCAACUCGGAGGAAGGUGGGGAUGACGUCAAAUCAUCAUGCCCCUUAUGUCUUGGGCUUCACGCAUGCUACAAUGGCCGGUACAAAGGGCUGCAAUACCGUAAGGUGGAGCGAAUCCCAAAAAGCCGGUCCCAGUUCGGAUUGAGGUCUGCAAC
rnacentral:rRNA from 1 species